rnacentral:tRNA from 1 species
GGAGGGGUCGCAUAGCCCGGUCUAGUGCGGUCGCCUGCUAAGUGACUACAGGGGGUUAAACCUCUGUCGCGGGUUCAAAUCCCGCCCCCUCCG